UCAUCAACACAUUAUUUAAGCACCAUAAAUAUGUUGGAUCACCUUUGACCACACUUAUUCCUUAUAACCAACAUCCCUUCAACCCAGCCCGUGACUCCCUCCUGACUCCCUCCUGACCCCCAACUCCUUCAACACACACACAACAACCCCAAUACACUCCUUCCGUCCUUCUUCUUCAAGCUUUUCUGUUCUACAUAUUUGUUAAGGUUUUUUUGUAUGAAUUUGUUUCAUUGACUUCAUUCAAGUUUUUUUGUUGGUUCUGUUUAUUUGGUUGUCUGAAUUUUUUUUGGGUUUUGUUUUAAGAGGGUUAAAAAAUUUUGGAAUUUGUUUUUAUGGUAAUGAUUUCAAUUUCUGUGAUUAUGAUUCUGUUCACGAUGUUCUAGUUCUAUUUUUGUUUUAUUUUUUAUUUUCAAGAGAUGAAACUGAGUUCUCAUGGAGUUUGUUUAAUGACAAUUUGAAUAUAUCUUUACUUCAUCAUGAGAAUAGAUUAGAAUGUCGAUUGUGAUUUCAAAGUGUGACCAUGAUAAUACUAGUAGCUGUUUAAACUGGUGGUAAUUUGUUUUAAACUUUGUGUUUGCUGUCAAAAGUGAUUUUGGUAGAUCUUUAACAACACAAGCAUUCUCCCAGCUUUUCUCGUUCCUCCAUUCCGUUCAAAACAGUAACUUUAAUUGCUCUUUGAUUCUUCGAAAACCAAAAACUUAUCGUUUUGUUUUUUAUCCUUUUCAAUUGAAAUGUGAAAACUUUCUGCUUCAUUUGCGCUUGGAUUGUUGCAAGUGAUUCUGAUUUUUCCCUUUCUUCUAUGAUAGGUUUUCUCUAUUUUUUGUGUUUCAGAAAGGAUCCAAAUUUUUUGGGUUUUUUUUUUCUAUUCAUGCGAAGUUUUCUUUUGAGCUGUGAAGUUUAAGGCAUGCCCUCUCCUUUUGAAAUUGUGAUUGAAGUAUAUAGAUGUUUCAGCCCCUAUCAAAUAUACAUAAGAAACUUGACGUUUUCUUAUAAUUUUGUAGAUAAUAUUUUUCUUAAAUAAAAUAUUAUAUACAUUUUCCUUCAUACUACUUUUCUCAUUCACAUUUUCUAUCACUGAUGCUGGUCACUUUUUGGUAAUUUUGCACUUCUUGGUAAUUUUGCAGGGCUACAGUAGAAAUUGGCCGUAAUUUUUCUUUGUAUGUAGAAGCAGGGAACUCAUCUUCACUAUUGUCAAUAUGUCUAAUCAUUAGGCGUUGGUCACUUCUUCAUGUUUUUCAUGUUGCAGUCACUUUCACAUCCUCCUGCAGCCGCAUCAGUGGUGACGAGGAUGAGGAUAUGAAAGUUGGCUGAGAUAUGAAAACAUGAAAGUGAAUACAAACACACCAAUGGCCAUACAUGAACCGACCACCAUGGUAAAAAUUAACCACCAAAUUGGUUAAGCAGUGUGAAGAUCUCAAAGUGAAGUGCAAUGAAGAGAUGACAGAGAGAAAAAAGCUCUUCAAUGAACUUCAAGAGUCUAAAGGGAACAUUAGGGUUUUCUGCCGUUGCUGUCCCUUAAAUAAGGACGAGAUCUCCGCUGGCUGUACUAGUUUUGAAUUUUGGUGCAGCAAAGGAUGAAAUUUUGACAACUAGUAUGUCAAAAAAAACAAUUCAAAUUUGACAGAGUUUAUACACCAAAAGAUGAUCAAGUUGAUGUUUUUGCUGAUGCCUUAUCAAUGGUAACAUCUGUGUUGGACGGCUACAAUGUAUGCAUAUUUGCUUAUGGGCCAACAGGAACAGGAAAGACAUUUACCAUGAAGGGAACAAAGUUGAAUAGAGGAGUAAAUUAUAGGACUAUAUAAAAUUAAAAUAUUACGUAAAGAGUACGUAAAGAAUUCAAUUAUCAUACAAUAAUAAAAUUAAAAGAAUACGUAAAGAGUACAUAGAAAAUAUACAAAAAUAAAAAAUAUUGUUAUAUAUUUUUUAUUGAAAAAUUAUAAAAAUAAAAUUGAAAUAUAUAAAUUAAAGAAUUUGAAGGCCAAAUUGAGUUGAAGACAUCCAUGCAAAACCAGUCAGAAAAACAAAUUUUUCGGUUGUAGGAGAAAUUGAAAAUAAAAGAAGAAACCUGCAAAAAGCAGGAAGAAAGGAUGAAGGAGCUCGAGAACAAACUUAAAGAGUAGGAACAGAGUUCAGCUAUGCUUUGUCAGCAGAUGAAGGAACAAGAGUGGCAAAGAAAGGCCACAGCCGACGCGGCCUAGGAGCUUGACAUGCUCUGUACCCGCUCAAAGGCUGUGGUCAUCGAUGCCACGAAUAACUGCUCCGCUUUACAGCGGAAGUUCCUGGACCUCGCAUCGGAGGUAUUCGCCAGGCAACUCUCUAUCUCCGAAUCAAACAAUCAAUUGCAAUUGGUGAGAAGAGUUCGGAUUCCCCAUGUCAUAGGGAUCUGAAUCCCCUGGAGCUAGUGAAUCCUUGGAGCUAGUGAUGGGCAAUCUUUUGCAACUACAGAAGCUAGCUUCUCAACUCCUGUUCGAGUGCUGCAAGCUACUAUUUAGGGUAAGGCAGUUACAUUUAGAGGACGAGGAUGUCCGAGAAGACCUCCAAAGCGAACUAGCGGAUUGUAAAUAAUAAUCUUAAUACAUAAGACUAUUAUUUUGUUG